UGUUUCCUGCAAUGUUUCUGGUCUUGUUUAAUGGUUCUUGUCUUGUGUUCCUGAGCCCUCCUGUGUUCUGUGCCUGCCAAGCUAAGGAACUUCUGCCAAUCUCCUGGUUACCAUCCUUUGUUUCUUUAUUCAGUAAUCUGAGACUUGUAUUUGCUCUGCUGCUGUGACCACUCUGAAAUCUGAAAUAGUCUGCAAUUAUCUCCAUUUGAGCAUAGUCUGGAUUCUCAGUGUUUCUGCAUUCCCCUGUCACUGUACCCUCCUUCAGAAAACAUCCUUUGAAUAUAUUACUACAUUCUGUGAUUUCAUGCUGGACAGGAGUUCAUAGCAAAAUUUAGUGAAAGUGGUGAUUAUGUUGCAGUCAGGGGCGGAUUAAAGGAGGGGCUAUAGGGGCGAUUUUCCCUGGGGCUCCCCACACAUUGUCCCACCAAAUCGUCUGUCGAGGAGCUACAGUGCAGUGGUGCACAGAAAGUCUCACAGAAAGCCAAAUACCACAAGACACUCACUGCCACAGAGCCACCCGCAGGCCACGAGAAAGCUCCGGUGCAGUGGCUUGGAUUGUCUAGGCCAGGUUCCCUCGACCCUUAUUCCCUGGAGCCUGCUGUUAUGCCAGUGACCUCCCUCAGUAGCGCUGAGCGGUGCCAGACUGUCCAUCACUUGAAGACAGAGAGGACGCCUCUGCAAAGUCAUCAGAAGCCGGCCAAGACUCACUGGCGCCAACUUCCGGAUGAGAAUCGGCAUGAUCCCUGGAAAAGAAGAACGCUACUCUUCUAAUCAUGAUCAACUCAUCAGAAAAUCAACAAAACAUGACUCAAGUGUCCGUCACUGGCAGCAAAACAACAGACUCUGUGGGACUUGUCAUCAUAUUUACAUAUGUCAAGAUUAUGCUGGUUGCCCUAAAAGCAAGUUCUCAGUCAUCUUCUGCAGCCAAAGCCGGGAAGACAGUUCUGCUCCACGCCUUCCAGUUUCUCCUAUGCCUGUCUUCAUUACUAACUGUUCUCUCACUGGCAUUUUCUGUACAAGCAGAGGAGCCCAUACAAUUGUUCAACUUUUUUAUGUUCACCUAUGUGCCGAGAUUCCUCAGUCCUAUAAUCUAUGGAAUCCGGGAUGAUGUAUUGAGAAAACAUUUUAAGAAAUCUUUACCAAAAUUUUAUCAUUAGUUACAAAACUAAUGUCAAAGAUCACCGGCUGGUAAUAUAGCGCUGGCAAUAGUCACAAGUUGUACAGCUAUAGGAAUAUGAAUCUCACUAACAUAAUCUACAAAUAAAACUAUCUACAAAUAUGUCUGAUUUAUUGAGUCAUGUAAACUGGGAUGUAUAACGUUGCAUCUGCUGGUGUAAAGGUUCUAC